UACGUAGGGGGCUAGCGUUGUCCGGAAUCAUUGGGCGUAAAGCGCGCGUAGGCGGCCCGGUAAGUCCGCUGUGAAAGUCAAAGGCUCAACCUUUGAAUGUCAGCGGAUACUGCCGGGCUAGAGUCCGGAAGAGGCGAGUGGAACUCCUGGUGUAGCGGUGGAAUGCGCAGAUAUCAGGAGGAACACCGGUGGCGAAGGCGGGUCUCUGGGCAGUAACUGACGCUGAGGAGCGAAAGCGUGGGGAGCGAACAGG
rnacentral:rRNA from 1 species